AACGUAGGACGCAAGCGUUAUCCGGAAUUACUGGGCGUAAAGCGCGGGCAGGCGGUCUUGUCAGUCUGAUGUGAAAUCUCCUCGCUCAACGGGGAGCAGCCAUUGGAAACUACAAGACUGGAGUCUGGCAGAGGUAGGCGGAAUUCCGGGUGGAGUGGUGAAAUGCGUAGAGAUCCGGAGGAACACCAGAGGCGAAGGCGGCCUACUGGGCCAGUACUGACGCUGAGCCGCGAAAGCCAGGGGAGCGAACGGG
rnacentral:rRNA from 1 species